AUACAAAAGAUGAUUAGGAGUACAUGUGCUUAAUUUAUCCGAAUGCUGUCAGCCUGGGAGUUUUGGACCUUAUUAUUCACUAGGAGCCAGUGGAGUUGCCCAUUUGCUUCAGACCGUGCUAUAAAAGUUGGCACCAGCAGAGCUAGCGUGGCUCAUCGGUCGCUAGUGGGAACUGCUGUUGACCCUGCUGGAAGGGGGCUGCAGCACCAGAAGGCAAGAAUUUGGGGAGACGGGCAUGUGGACGCAGCUGUGCUGUGGAUUCUGAAUUUCCUCACAACUUGUGUCGGAGAAGUGGAUGCUCUGAGAGAUCAUCUGUCUUUCCAUCUACCCAAAAUACAGACAACAAGUAAAAGGCGCUAUGUGUCUACCAUAACCUAUUUGAGAUGAGGCAUCCAGAACUGCAGACAGAAUUCAAGGAGAAGGUGCUGUAAAGCGGAGUGGACAUCUGCACCUCACCAUUUCUGGAUGCC